rnacentral:rRNA from 1 species
CCCUAUUAUUUUAGAAUGUUAAUUUUUUGUGCCUGAGUAGUAUUAGUUAUGUUCUUGAAACUUAAAGAAUUUGGCGGUAUCUCAUUCCGUCCAGAGGAAUCUGUCCCGUUAUCGAUAGUCCACGUUGGACCUUACUUAUUUGAUUUUGGUUUGUAUACCGCCGUUUAUUGAUUAUCUUUUUAGGGGUUAUAUUAAUUUUCUGGUAUCUUUAUUUUGAUGUAUUUCAGGUCAAGGUGCAGCUUGUUUUUAAGUGGAAUGAUGGAUUACAAUGUUAUUUGUUUGUGGAUUGUUGGUUUUAAUAUUGGCAUGAAAUUGGAUUUGGUUGUAAUGAUUUGUAGAUUGUUAUUAUGAUAACUGGUUCUGAGAUAUGUACACAUCGCCCGUCGCUCUCGUUUGUUUAUUAUAAUGAGAUAAGUC